GACGAACGCUGGCGGCGUGCCUAAUACAUGCAAGUCGAACGCAGUGGGGACGGGUGAGUAACACGUGGGUAACCUCCCAUCAGAGGGGAUAAAACUUGGAAACAGGUGCUAAACCGAUACUGCUGGAUGGAACCGCGGUGCAUUAGCUAGUUGGUGAGGUAACGUCUUACCAAGGCCACGAGGAAUACCUGACAGUAGAGGGUUAUCGGUCACACUGGAACUGAGACACGGCCCAGACUCCUACGGGAGGCAGCAGUAGGGAAUCUUCGGCAAUGGACGAAAGUCUGAUCCAGCAACGCCGCGUGUGUGAAGAAGGUUUUCGGAUUGUAAAGCACUUUUAUUAGGGAAGCGGUAUCUAACGAGAAAGCAACGGCUAACUACGUGCCAGCAGCCGCGGUAAUAC
rnacentral:rRNA from 1 species